rnacentral:misc_RNA from 1 species
CGGGUUCUGCUCUGCGCGUGUGCGGCUCUUUUCCAGUGGCCGAUAAGCAUCUCCGAGGGAGCUGGCGCUGCCAGGGUCCUGGCCUUGGUAUCUGGCGACCACCUGAACACUCAGGCUCUCGGGAAAUUCACGCUGCCACGGCUGCUGCGGUUCCCGC